AUAUUAUUUAAAAAUAAAAUCGAACAAAUACCUAUGCACAAAUUUGAGGACAGACUUAAGUGAAGGACAAUAGCCCUCAAAAAUAAGCUUCUAGUUGUGAUUCUGUCUUCUCUUUAUAACAUGACUAGCAUUUAUUUUUUUCAGCAGAAUAAUCACACUAUGAAUUAUUUCCUAUUGAAAAAUCUCCUUUUCCUAAAACUUCAUUUGAACACCAUUGUUUCUACAUACUUCUCUUUGUUUUCAUGCAACUCUUCUUUAGAGGCGAUGUGGACUUUAGAUCUCUGGGAAAGGGCAUACCGGAGGAUUUUACUGGCCUUUGUGACAGAUAAGUGUUGUCAGAAUAUUUGGUGGCUGUGUGUCAGGGGCUUGGGCCUCUCUGUUAUGCAAUUGUGUCACUCUGAGGCUCUCUACUUGAGGGAAUGUUUGUUUCCAUUUUUAAUCAACCUGGGACAAGGCGAAUCCUGCCUCUCAAAGGGUUGUAGAAAAUACUUCCUUGGUCUGUUGGGCCAUGGAGUGCCUCUGAAGAUGUCUGCACAUUCCUUAAGCAGCUGGCUCUGAGGAAGGUCUCAGCUUUAAGACACUGAGGCUGGUUUCCCUUUCUUUUCCCACAAACCUUCAGUAUAAUCUUGUUAAAGUUCUGUCCAGGGUACUGUUGUGCUUUGAGGAACGAAGGGGGACCUGCCCGUGUUCCAAAGGUGGAGUAGUCGUGUGCUCUGCCUGAAGAUGAAGCAGGGGCGUCUCAGUGGUCAGCAUGCGACAGACAGGGUCCCUAGCACAGCGGCAAUCCCUAAAGUGGUCAGCAGCGGAUGCAGCACUGAGGCAGUCAGGUGAAGAUGCAGGCUAGGAAGGGGGUGAGGGAUGAGUAAGGAGAACACAUGAAACCAUUGUCAGGAAUUUGAGGAAUUUACUGGGAGUAAUUUAGGGCACUUUGGCCACCAUAUCCAAAUACAGCCAAUAAUAUGGAUAUUAAAAUGGAGUGCAAUAUUACUGUCAUUUUCAUUUUAGAAAUGUGGAAAUGGAGGCAUCAGGCACAUUACUUGGAGUUGCCUACUACAUACUCCAAAUUUCUUUAAAACCUCAUUGUAAGACGAAGUAAAUGUCAUACACUAUUCCAUAAUAUAGACAGCUGCAUUUUAAUAGUAAGCUAUUAUGAUUAAUAUGAACAUGGUCAUGAAACAAUUUCUCCUCAAACAUUUUUAGUUAAACUUGAGAAGCUGAAAAAUGAAGGCUGCUUCUUGUGUGGCUUUCUAUGCUGCCUGCUUCCCUUUCAAACAUAGAUUCAAACUGCUGCCUACCUACUUGGAAAGUGUUUAGUGUAGUUUUUUUGUUGUUGUUGUUGUUUCUUCAGAGAAAAGGGAAGGCAAAAGGAAAAGAGAAAAGGGAAAGAAAUCCAGAGAAAAGAAUGGGGGGAACUUAGAUUCUCAGGGGUAAAGACAGACAGACUUCAAUCCCAACAUCAGGGAGAGUAGGGGAAACCAACUUGGCCCAGAGCUGUCACUCUCGCUCUCCUCUUGCUUGAACAGCUGCCAAUACCCAGAGUCAGCCUGUCCUGUUGCCCACUGAGCUUCAGGCUUGUAGAGAAAUACUCACAUCUGUGCCAAAAACCUUUUGCCCAGCUCUGACACUUCCGCUUUGAAUCCCAUGGCUCUUCUUGAUUGUACCACUGAAGGUCCAGGACACAAAAAGCCCUCAGGUCAUUUGAUUUAGGAUUUGAACAAUGGAGAGAUGAUCAUGAUCAGAAGAAAAAUUCUUUAUACUUCACAAAGGCAGAAAUAAAAAUCCAGUUUGCAAUUGACUUUUGAGCCUGGAGAAUAAUGGGAAACUUCACCCAUGUUAACUUGUCUUUUGCAAACAAAGUGUCUUUCUGUGUUAGAAUUUUCAAGAGCCUAAUUCUGCUAAUCAUAAUGUAUUUGCACAUGCAAUUAAAAUUUCCAAAUUUUUCUUUUUUAAGGAACUACUCCAAAAAGCUUUCCUUUUCUUUGAGAGUACACCACUGAGUUUUGUAAAGUACCAGACUUUUGCUUGAGUUCCAUAAAAUGUUGUCUGAGCUUCUACACAGCAUGACAGAUGAUCAAAACCACUUUUUCCCUGGAUUUUGUGUCUAUUCAGUUAGUUAUCAAUCCUAGCUUACUGCCGUCUACAAAUCUUAAAAACAUGCCCUUUAUCUCUCUUCCUCCUGGUUAUUAAUUCAAAUUUUAACAAGACAGGGCUAAGAGCCAACCCACUAUAGGGCUUUAUUAAAGACUACUGUACUUUGCAGUUUGAUGUUUAUUAACAUUCUUUGGGCACCUAGCUACAAUAUAACUCAAUUUUCUGUGAAAAACUAUUAAUCAUCCUAUUUUUUCCUUGUCUUUAAUAUGAGAUAAAUUUUAUACCACUGUUUCUCAAACCAUCUGUUGUGAGGGACAGUUUUGCUUUUUAAUUUCCAAUUGUCAGAGACCUAUGCCUUUGUAAAAUAUAAUUAAAAACAAACAUAAAAAUAAAAUUAUUAGAAAAAUGAAAUAAAAGAGAAAUGAAAUAAGAAUAAUUUUAUUAUUAGAUUUAACAGAUCAAAUAUUAUUUCAAUACUCAGAUCAAAUGUGCAAUAAGACAGGGUUGCAAAAAAUGCACACUUUUUUAUUAAAAUCAUUUAUAUAAGUAAUUUAUAUAAAAAUAAUAUUACAGUUGCAACUUUCUGUUGUUUCUCAACUAUGACCAAACAGAGGUUACAAGUGAAGUAGCAAUCCCAAUACUAAACUGCUAUAUGUGCAUUUUGAAUCAAUCAUGUGUAUGUCAAUGAAGUUUUUAAUGUGACAGAUUUGCAUUUUCGUUGUUAAUUUAUAUAAUCUAGGUUGGAUAAAUGACAAUGCCAAUCAUAGGAGAUAAUGUUGAUCCUAAAUGUUAGUGUGUUGAUUUCAUAACACUCAAUGGAGAAGCCAGUCUCAGAGAGGCAUGGUGCUAGACUGGAAGAAAAGAAUUUGAAAUAAUUACAGUAAGCUGAUGGAAUUCACUUUUAUCUAUUUUUAUAAAGCAAGUGAUUGUGUAUUUUUAAAAUUUAUCUUCAAUUCUUCAUCAAUAGCUACUUUUAAUCAUUAACCUUAUAAAUUUAAUUAUAUUUCAAUUAUAUUUUAAUAGAAAGAAUGGAUUUCAUGUUUUUUCUGGUGUGGAUCUUUGAUAAGAAUAUAAAAUUCAAAAUAUUCUGUUAAA
rnacentral:lncRNA from 1 species